rnacentral:lncRNA from 1 species
AACUUAAAUAAAAUACAAAAGAAAGCAAAAGCAAAAGUUGGAACUAGAUUGCCUCCCAAAAAGCAUUAAGUUUAUUGUCUUCCGCCAGACCAAAUUAUUGACAGGUGCUUCCACAUAGAGCAAUCCUUUAUUCCUAAAAAAAUGAAGAUUAGUUAAAAAAAAAUUAGGUUGCCUCCCAAAGAGUGCUAAGUUUAUCAUUUUCAGCC